rnacentral:tRNA from 1 species
GGUCCCGUGGUCAAGCGGUUAAGACACCACCCUUUCACGGUGGUAUCAUGGGUUCGAUUCCCAUCGGGACUACCA